AGGCAGGACUCAACUUCAGACCAGAUUGA
rnacentral:piRNA from 1 species